UUAAGCGACUAAGCGUACACGGUGGAUGCCCUGGCAGUCAGAGGCGAUGAAGGACGUGCUAAUCUGCGAUAAGCGUCGGUAAGGUGAUAUGAACCGUUAUAACCGGCGAUUUCCGAAUGGGGAAACCCAGUGUGAUUCGUCACACUAUCAUUAACUGAAUCCAUAGGUUAAUGAGGCGAACCGGGGGAACUGAAACAUCUAAGUACCCCGAGGAAAAGAAAUCAACCGAGAUUCCCCCAGUAGCGGCGAGCGAACGGGGAGCAGCCCAGAGCCUGAAUCAGUGUGUGUGUUAGUGGAAGCGUCUGGAAAGGCGCGCGAUACAGGGUGACAGCCCCGUACACAAAAAUGCACAUGCUGUGAGCUCGAUGAGUAGGGCGGGACACGUGGUAUCCUGUCUGAAUAUGGGGGGACCAUCCUCCAAGGCUAAAUACUCCUGACUGACCGAUAGUGAACCAGUACCGUGAGGGAAAGGCGAAAAGAACCCCGGCGAGGGGAGUGAAAAAGAACCUGAAACCGUGUACGUACAAGCAGUGGGAGCACGCUUAGGCGUGUGACUGCGUACCUUUUGUAUAAUGGGUCAGCGACUUAUAUUCUGUAGCAAGGUUAACCGAAUAGGGGAGCCGAAGGGAAACCGAGUCUUAACUGGGCGUUAAGUUGCAGGGUAUAGACCCGAAACCCGGUGAUCUAGCCAUGGGCAGGUUGAAGGUUGGGUAACACUAACUGGAGGACCGAACCGACUAAUGUUGAAAAAUUAGCGGAUGACUUGUGGCUGGGGGUGAAAGGCCAAUCAAACCGGGAGAUAGCUGGUUCUCCCCGAAAGCUAUUUAGGUAGCGCCUCGUGAAUUCAUCUCCGGGGGUAGAGCACUGUUUCGGCAAGGGGGUCAUCCCGACUUACCAACCCGAUGCAAACUGCGAAUACCGGAGAAUGUUAUCACGGGAGACACACGGCGGGUGCUAACGUCCGUCGUGAAGAGGGAAACAACCCAGACCGCCAGCUAAGGUCCCAAAGUCAUGGUUAAGUGGGAAACGAUGUGGGAAGGCCCAGACAGCCAGGAUGUUGGCUUAGAAGCAGCCAUCAUUUAAAGAAAGCGUAAUAGCUCACUGGUCGAGUCGGCCUGCGCGGAAGAUGUAACGGGGCUAAACCAUGCACCGAAGCUGCGGCAGCGACACUAUGUGUUGUUGGGUAGGGGAGCGUUCUGUAAGCCUGUGAAGGUGUACUGUGAGGUAUGCUGGAGGUAUCAGAAGUGCGAAUGCUGACAUAAGUAACGAUAAAGCGGGUGAAAAGCCCGCUCGCCGGAAGACCAAGGGUUCCUGUCCAACGUUAAUCGGGGCAGGGUGAGUCGACCCCUAAGGCGAGGCCGAAAGGCGUAGUCGAUGGGAAACAGGUUAAUAUUCCUGUACUUGGUGUUACUGCGAAGGGGGGACGGAGAAGGCUAUGUUGGCCGGGCGACGGUUGUCCCGGUUUAAGCGUGUAGGCUGGUUUUCCAGGCAAAUCCGGAAAAUCAAGGCUGAGGCGUGAUGACGAGGCACUACGGUGCUGAAGCAACAAAUGCCCUGCUUCCAGGAAAAGCCUCUAAGCAUCAGGUAACAUCAAAUCGUACCCCAAACCGACACAGGUGGUCAGGUAGAGAAUACCAAGGCGCUUGAGAGAACUCGGGUGAAGGAACUAGGCAAAAUGGUGCCGUAACUUCGGGAGAAGGCACGCUGAUAUGUAGGUGAAGCGACUUGCUCGUGGAGCUGAAAUCAGUCGAAGAUACCAGCUGGCUGCAACUGUUUAUUAAAAACACAGCACUGUGCAAACACGAAAGUGGACGUAUACGGUGUGACGCCUGCCCGGUGCCGGAAGGUUAAUUGAUGGGGUUAGCGCAAGCGAAGCUCUUGAUCGAAGCCCCGGUAAACGGCGGCCGUAACUAUAACGGUCCUAAGGUAGCGAAAUUCCUUGUCGGGUAAGUUCCGACCUG
rnacentral:rRNA from 1 species